GACGGAGGGUGCUAGCGUUGUUCGGAAUUACUGGGCGUAAAGGGCGCGUAGGCGGCCUGGUCAGUCGGGUGUGAAAGCCCGGGGCUCAACCCCGGAACGGCACCCGAGACGGCCAGGCCGUGGAGACCGGGAGAGGAGGGUGGAAUAGCCAGUGUAGAGGUGAAAUUCGUAGAUAUUGGCUGGAACACCGGUGGCGAAAGCGGCUCUCUGGCCCGGUUCUGACGCUGAGGCGCGAAAGCGUGGGGAGCAACAGG
rnacentral:rRNA from 1 species